rnacentral:rRNA from 1 species
CGCUGGCGGCGUGCCUAAUACAUGCAAGUCGAGCGGAAUGAUGAAGAAGCUUGCUUCUUCUGAUUUUAGCGGCGGACGGGUGAGUAACACGUGGGCAACCUACCUUGUAGAUUGGGAUUACUCCGGGAAACCGGGGCUAAUACCGAAUAAUCCAUUUUGCUUCAUGGCGAGAUGUUAAAAGGCGGCUUCGGCUGUCACUACGAGAUGGGCCCGCGGCGCAUUAGCUAGUUGGUAGGGUAAUGGCCUACCAAGGCGACGAUGCGUAGCCGACCUGAGAGGGUGAUCGGCCACACUGGGACUGAGACACGGCCCAGACUCCUACGGGAGGCAGCAGUAGGGAAUCUUCCACAAUGGAACGAAAGUCUGAUGGAGCAACGCCGCGUGAGUGAAGUAAGGUUUUCGGAUACGUAAACUCUGUUGUAAGGGAGAACACGUACGAGAGUAACUGCUCGUACCUUGACGGUACCUUAUUAGAAAGCCACGGCUAACUACGUG